UGGAGCUUGCGCGCCGCACACCCCCCCCCCCCCCCUACACACAGACGAUACCAAAAAAACUCGCAGAGAGAGAGAGAGAUUGAGAUAGAGAUGGGGAUAGUGAGCAAGGCAGGGGAUUGGGCAUUCAAGGCGUUCACGGCGGGGCUCGGCGUCACCACUUUAUACCUCACCGCCACUUUCUCCGCCAAUGUCUACAAAGGCCUCGCCUGGCACAAAGCUCAAUCGAAAAUCGAGAAAGAGGGUGCUUCUGCUGAGCAAGCCCCUUAAUUUUGAGUUUUCACGGCAAUCAGGUGAGUCGGUAACCUUAUUCCUCUAUGAAAAUUACAGUGUUGGUCUUUGUCCUUCGCGUUUUAAGUAAUCGAAUUAGAUUUUGAACCAGUAGAGCCAUCAGUUGGCUUUACUUCCAAAUGCUAUGGACAUAUUUGUGAUUCGGAUGACGCAUUUUAUUUCUACAUGAUUUCGAUAGCUCGAAUAUGUAAUUGUUUUUCAAUAUUUACUAAAUAAACUUUUCUGAAAUGGAAAUUCAUCGAAUCGUA